UCUGCUGCCAGCCUGCCACAUGUGUGCCACCGAGGCCCGCUCUAACCCAGCACCCCCUUGUGGCCAAGUGGAGGGCAGCCCAGAAGUGAGGAGGGGCCACAUAUUUUAUAGAAACAUUGUAUCCCUUCUCAAGCCUUGUCCUGUGCUUUCUCAAUUGAGACCAGAGACAGAUGCUGCCUGCCUAUGAUAAGAGGCCUUCCGGACUUCUGUGUCAGAGGGAAGAAGGAAUGAGGAACUGCCCUAACGGCAGAGUAGGGAGCCUGCUGGCUAAAGAAGAGGGAGCUUCUUGGCUGGUAGGAAGGACCAGAAUCUAAACUGCUUUUUCCUGUUACCAAAUCAUGAGCUUUUUUGUCCAAUUGGGUCCCCCAUGACUGCCACCAUCAAGUCUUUUUCUAAAAUUUUAUUUUUUAUUUUAAAUGCGUGAGUGUUUGACCUGCAUUGUGCAUGUGCAGCAGGCCUGGUGUCACUGAGGUCCACAAGAAGGUGUCAGAUCUCCUGGAACUAGAAUUGAUGGUUAUGAGCCACUACGUGGAAGCCAGGAACUGAACCUGGGUCCUCUGGAAUGACCGCCAGUGCUCUUAACCUCGGAGCCAUCUCUCCAGCCCCAACCGUCAUUCUGUUGUUUCAUUUUGUUUUUGAGACAGGGUUUCUCUGUGUCAUCCUGGCUGUCAUGGAACUUGCUUUCUAGACCAGGCUGGCCUCAAACUCAGAAAUUCUCCUGCAUCUGCCUCCUGAGUGCUAAGAUUAAAGGCAUGUGCCACCACCGCCUGGAUCCAACUGUCAUUUUUUUUUUAAGAUUUAUUUAUUUAAUGUAUAUGAGUACACUGUAGCUGUCUCCAGACAUACCAGAGGAGGGCAUCAGAUUCUAUUACAGAUGAUCGUGAGCCACCAUGUGGUUGCUGGGUGAUGUGCCCUUUGGAACUCUGACACGCAGUGCUAACAGCUAGUGACACAGGAAGCUCCCCCACGGAGGCUAUUUGAAUCUGCCUCCAUCUCUUUUCUUCUGGUUAAUUUCCUGGGUGGCCAACAUCUCGGAACAUUCAUGGCAGCUGCUCAUCUAUGUCUCAGUGGUCACCUGAUAUCUCACCUCAAAUCUGCAGGUACUUAAAAGGUGAUCUCUCUAGGCACUCACUGCCUGCCAAGUCGAAAGGCAGGAAGAGAAAAGGUAUCGAUCACCCGGAGUUUGGCUGCGUGGUUUUCAGAACACAUUCUUGGCCACACUACUGCUCUGUUUCACCCUCUUUCCUGUAGACUCAUUCUUUGCACCACACCCCUUAGCCCUGCAUGGCUACCGCUGAAGAAACUAAAGCUAAUGCUGUUUGCUUAA